UGGCUCAGUUGGUAAAGAAUCUGCCUGUAGUGCAGGAGACCCAGGUUCAAUCCCUGG
rnacentral:tRNA from 1 species